rnacentral:rRNA from 1 species
UACGUAGGGUGCGAGCGUUGUCCGGAAUUACUGGGCGUAAAGAGCUCGUAGGUGGUUUGUCACGUCGUCUGUGAAAUUCCGGGGCUUAACCUCGGGCGUUCAGGCGAUACGGGCAAUACUUGAGUGCUGUAGGGGAGACUGGAAUUCCUGGUGUAGCGGUGAAAUGCGCAGAUAUCAGGAGGAACACCAAUGGCGAAGGCAGGUCUCUGGGCAGUUACUGACGCUGAGGAGCGAAAGCAUGGGUAGCGAACAGGAUUAGAUACCCCGGUAGU